rnacentral:lncRNA from 1 species
UUUCAUUCAAAUCAAUCUAGUUCGUACUGGGAUACUCAAGUAUCGCUGCUGCAAAUUCAGGCACACAAGCUAGCCUAGGCAGCUGGAUGCCCCUUCUCUCUAAUGACCUAUCCAAAAUGUGAAGAAGCUCAUAGUCUAUGGACCCCUUGUGUCUUAUUAUUUCCUGCAUGCAAGCCAGAAGCUUUCCUGUUGCCUUCCGGUUACCGAAGGUCCGAGGCCGUUCGUGUGUUUGCGAAAGUUGUGCUCCUUCAACAACUUGUGAACGGUGGUCUUCUUCAUAUUCAAUGCACUAGCGACAUCUCGGAUCGUUUUUCGAUCCUUCGGAGGUACAGCCAUUAGAGCAUCCAAGUCCAACGCAGCACGCUUUCUUCCAACUCUACCGGCCUUCUUGUUGAUGACCGCAUUCACACCGCCACCUCGCCUAGCAUUAUCCCAUAUCCGCCGGAGGACCCUAGCUGGCACGUCUGUUCGAUCUGAUAAUUCUUUACUCACCCCACGUCUUAGUGGACCACAACCAUUUCUCUCCAAAAUAAUCGCGUACAGCGCACGCUUAUCAUCAUCGUUGUAAAAUGUUCUUCUCUUUUUAUUGGCCAUCUCAACUAGGAAAAACAUACAAGGAUAGCAUUUUGUUAAGUUUGAAACUAGGACAACAAAAUCCUAUUAACUCUUAUUGUUCAUUUCAUAAUCCAGUUUUAGGAUAAACAAAACAUGCAGCUUGACGACAACAAAUACUCAUACUAGGAUUCAACAACUAAAUUAGCGAUACACGUGCAAUCUUCAUCUAUGAAUUCUAUAACUUCCUAAUCGUCAUUAUAUAUAAUAGCCAGAAUUACACAGGUGCAAUCUCUACAGUACUAUAACAGAAAAAAAUGUACAGUGUUCAUUAUCUACAAUAUUUUGCAAUAAUCUCCAUUGAUGAAACAUAUUACUACUGUUCAUUAUUAGUAGAAAGAUAUUGACAUAUGCAAUCUCCAUCUAUGAAAUUGAAACCUGUAUAAUAUUUAAAAAAAUUGCACUGUUCAUAAUCUACUCAGAAUCAGAAAUAGAAAUAAAUAGGCCCAUAAAUGUAUUCUACAUAUAUACUAACAACAAUGUGCCUAUGUUCAUGGUCUAAAGUGCUUAUUUUUUAAAUCCACAACAACAAUAACUGAAAGCAUGAAUUUAAACUAAUCAAACAAAAAACGAGGCACUUUUCUUUAAUCUCAUCAAGUGUAAUCUUCCUCUAUCAAUUACGUAUAUAGCAAAAUUAUGCCCACUGUUCCAUUGCAUGAGCAUGAGUACCAAAUAACAAGCAAAGUAGGUAGGACGCAAACCUACUUAGUUCGGUGCCGGUGUCAUGGCCGUGGUCGUUCUUGUCCGUGCCUCCUGCGCCGCACCUUUCAUCACCACCAGCUGCAGCAUCAUCGUCAUGGCGGUCGCAGCCAGGCCAUCCGCUACACUCGGAUCUCGCCACGGAUGUCACGCGACCAGCGCCUAAAGAACCGGCUGCGUCGCGCACGGCAGCCAGUGCACGAGCACGACCGAAGCAGCCGUGGUUGCCUCCUCCGCUCAAGAUCGACGGGAGCGAUCCGCGGCUCGGGUCGAAUGCUCCUCGCCCACCUAGCCGAGGCAGGCCCGCGACGGAUUCUUCACGGGCGCCAGCGGUCCAGCCGCGCCCUGCUCGACCUCUACGUGCCAGGCCCAGGCCGGCUGCGCCCCGUCCACAAGCGACCCCUCCGCCACCGCCGGCGGCGGCGGCAGACCCACCAUGCCCACGGUUCAGGUCGCCAGCUUGAUCUCGCGGUCGCCCAGCUUCCUCUCGACCGCUACGUCUACAGGAUCUAGGUUUAGAUCAAAGAACGCCAUGGACUUUCAGGACGAGGAAGAAGAGGAAUGAGUAAGCAUCUGUCCUCUGUCCUCUUAUAAGGAGGAUUUGGAGUUCAAAUCUUCGUGCCAUAUUUCCCCCCUAGGCAGCGCAGGGAUUGGAUCGACAUGUGGCGCCGUAAAUUGGGAAAUGGGCAUUGCUGCACGCGACGCGAGGAAGGGAGCGAGGUCGCCGGUUGGGUCACUAGUGAGGCGGAAGAGAAGACGAUGGGG